GGGGCUGAUUCUGGAUUCGACGGGAUUUGCGAAACCCAAGGUGCAUGCCGAGGGGCGGUUGGCCUCGUAAAAAGCCGCAAAAAAAUAGUCGCAAACGACGAAACCUACGCUUUAGCAGCUUAAUAACCUGCUUAGAGCCCUCUCUCCCUAGCCUCCGCUCUUAGGACGGGGAUCAAGAGAGGUCAAACCCAAAAGAGAUCGCGCGGAUGCCCUGCCUGGGGUUGAAGCGUUAAAACGAAUCAGGCUAGUCUGGUAGUGGCGUGUCCGUCCGCAGGUGCCAGGCGAAUGUAAAGACUGACUAAGCAUGUAGUACCGAGGAUGUAGGAAUUUCGGACGCGGGUUCAAUUCCCGCCAGCUCCACCA
rnacentral:tmRNA from 1 species